GGAUGUGAGGCCGAUAUGGCUGCGACAUCUGUCACCCCAUUGAUCGCCAGGGUUGAUUCGGCUGAUCUGGCUGGCUAGGCGGGUGUCCCGUCCUCCCUCAACACUCCCUGUGAGUCCCUCCCAAAGCUGCGUGCUCGGCUGAAGAGGAUGACCACCCCUGAAAGAGGAGGACCGUUCCUCCGUCAAGGGCUUACAAGCAGCUGCAUUCCCCUGCUAGAAACUCCAGACCAGCUCUCAAGAAGCAGAGGUACUAAUUCCCAAGCCCGAGUCCAUUAUCAUUAUUGUUUUCCACAUAUUAUUAUUU
rnacentral:snRNA from 1 species